AGGACGAACGCUGGCGGCGUGCUUAACACAUGCAAGUCGAGCGGUAAGGCCUUUCGGGGUACACGAGCGGCGAACGGGUGAGUAACACGUGGGUGAUCUGCCCUGCACUCUGGGAUAAGCCUGGGAAACUGGGUCUAAUACCGGAUAUGACCUGCUCUCGCAGUGGGGGGGUGGGUGGAAAGAUUUUAUCGGUGCAGGAUGGGCCCGCGGCCUAUCAGCUUUGGUUGGUGGGGUAAUGGCCUACCAAGGCGACGACGGGUAGCCGACCUGAGAGGGUGACCGGCCACACUGGGACUGAGACGACGGCCCAGACUCCUACGGGAGGCAGCAGGUGGGAAUAUUGCACAAUGGGACGAAAGCCUAGAG
rnacentral:rRNA from 1 species